AUUGAACGCUGGCGGCAGGCUUAACACAUGCAAGUCGAGCGGAGCGGCGGACGGGUGAGUAAUGCUUAGGAAUCUGCCUAUUAGUGGGGGACAACAUUCCGAACGGUAUGCUAAUACCGCAUAUUAAGGGAGGAGCCUAAGUCGGAUUAGCUAGUUGGUGGGGUAAAGGCCUACCAAGGCAGAGAGCUGUAGCGGGUCUGAGAGGAUGAUCCGCCAAACGGGGACUGAGACACGGCCCAGAGUCCUACGGGAGGCAGCAGUGGGGAAUAUUGGACAAUGGGGGGAACCAUGAUCCAGCCAUGCCGCGUGUGUUAAGAAGGCCUUAUGGUUGUAAAGCACUUUAAGCGAGGAGGCGUUACUCGCAGAAUAAACACCGGCUAACUCUGUGCCAGCAGCCGCGGUAAUAC
rnacentral:rRNA from 1 species